rnacentral:pre_miRNA from 1 species
UCUUAUGGAUGAGCAAAGAAAGUGGUUUCCUGAGAUGGAAUCCGCUCCUGGUGAAGGUGCUGUGAA